rnacentral:misc_RNA from 1 species
AACGCACAUUGCGCCCCCUGGUAUUCCGGGGGGCACGGCCGUCCGAGCGCCAUUUCAGACCUCGAGCUAGGGGCUCGUUGUUGGGCACCGUCCGCGAGGGCGCGCCUCAAAUGGGUCGGCGCCGCCGCUGGGCAUCGCAGCGCACCGAGCCUUACGGCCCGCGCUGGAGGGUCCAGCGGUAGCUGCCCCGCAAUUUACAGCACCGAACGGCCUCGGAUCGGGCGUGGUUACCCGCUGAACUUAA